AUUGAACGCUGGCGGCAGGCCUAACACAUGCAAGUCGAGCGAGCGGCGGACGGGUGAGUAAUGUAUGGGGACUGCCCGAUAGAGGGGGGUAACUACUGGAAACGGUAGCUAAUACCGCAUACUAUCGGAUAACCCAUAUGGGAUUGGCUAGUAGGUGAGGUAAUGGCUCACCUAGGCGACGAUCCCUAGCUGGUCUGAGAGGAUGAUCAGCCACACUGGGAUUGAGACACGGCCCGGACGCCUACGGAGGCACCAGUGGGGAAUUUUGCACAAUGGCCGCAAGCCGUAUGCAGCCAUGCCGCGUGUAUGAAGAAGGCCUUAGGGUUGUAAAGUACUUUCAGUCGGGAGGCGUUAACGACCGAAGAAGCACCGGCUAACUCCGUGCCAGCAGCCGCGGUAAUAC
rnacentral:rRNA from 1 species